rnacentral:pre_miRNA from 1 species
UUACCGGCGCUAAAACGUCACUUUAUUGCUCGUUAGAUACAAAACAAGAAUAAGAUGACUUUUUAGCACUGAUAGC